UUGUCGCGGUGGGCGAUGCGGUCUUCAAUUCUGGGAGUGGUG
rnacentral:tRNA from 1 species